GAGUGUAGCGGUGAAAUGCGUAGAUAUUCGGAGGAACACCAAUUGCGAAGGCAGCUCACUGGGCCGCUAUCGACGCUGAGGAGCGAAAGCUAGGGGAGCAAACAGGAUUAGAUACCCUGGUAGUCCUAGCUGUAAACGAUGGAUACUAGACGUAGGAACUGGAUUGACGGUUUCUGUGUCGUAGCUAACGCGUUAAGUAUCCCGCCUGGGGAGUACGGUCGCAAGACUAAAACUCAAAGGAAUUGACGGGACCCCGCACAAGCGGCGGAGCAUGCGGCUUAAUUCGAUGAUACCCGUAGAACCUUACCUGGACUUGACAUAUAGGGUCUAGCUAUAGAGAUAUAGUGUGCAUUAGCGCCCUAUACAGGUGGUGCAUGGCUGUCGUCAGCUCGUGUCGUGAGAUGUUGGGUUAAGUCCCGCAACGAGCGCAACCCACGUCUUUAGUUGCCAGCAUUUAGUUGGGCACUCUAGAGAGACUGCCGGUGAUAAACCGGAGGAAGGUGUGGAUGACGUCAAGUCAUCAUGCCCCUUACAUCCUGGGCUACACACGUACUACAAUGCUACGGACAAAGGGCUGCAAGUUCGCGAGGACAAGCAAAUCCCAUAAACCGUGGCUCAGUUCAGAUCGUAGGCUGCAACUCGCCUACGUGAAGGCGGAAUCGCUAGUAAUCGCAGGUCAGCAUACUGCGGUGAAUACGUUCCCGGGCCUUGUACACACCGCCCGUCACACCAUGGAAGUUGGCCACGCCCGAAGUCGUUACUCCAACCCUUGUGGAGGAGGACGUCGAAGGUGGGGCUGAUGACUGGGGUGAAGUCGUAACAAGGUAGCCGUA
rnacentral:rRNA from 1 species